rnacentral:rRNA from 1 species
AGUGAACGCUGGCGGCAGGCUUAACACAUGCAAGUCGAGCGGGGUGAUGGUGCUUGCACUAUCACUUAGCGGCGGACGGGUGAGUAAUGCUUAGGAGUCUGCCUAUUAGUGGGGGACAACAUUUCGAAGUGGAUUCUAAUACCGCCUACGUCCUACGGGAGUAAGCAGGGGCUCCCUUGUGCCCUUGCGCUAAUAGAUGAGCCUCAGUCGGAUUAGCUGGUUGGUGGGGUAAAGGCCUACCAAGGCGACGAUCUGUAGCGGGUCUGGGAGGAUGAUCCGCCACACUGGGACGGAGACACGGCCCAGACUCCUACGGGAGGCAGCAGUGGGGAAUAUUGGACGAUGGGGGGAACCCUGAUCCAGCCAUGCCGCGUGUGUGAAGAAGGCCUUAUGGUUGUAAAGCACUUUAAGCGAGGAGGAGGCUCUUUUGGUUAAUACCCAAGAUGAGUGGACGUUACUCGCAGAAUAAGCACCGGCUAACUCUGUGCCAGCAGCCGCCGUAA